UUCUAGAUCUAGAUCUAGAGUAGUUUAUGCUAUUCGGACACCUAUAGGCCCAAAUUUGAAAGUUUGACUUUGACAGCGCAUUAUUUGACAAUGGUUUGACAUAGAAAAGAAAAUGACGUAUCAAAAUCUUCUUUAGUUAAAGGAGAAUAAGGAUGACUACUUAUAUUUGUUCCCCAAACCUAUAUUUAUUAUAUUUAAGGUCAAAGACGCCGUGUGUUUUCAUUUAAUUCGGACACAUUUGACCCACAUUAUUUGAUUCCGGACACAAUAAUUUAUUUCGGACAGUCUCUAUAUUUAGGCAUCAAUAAACUCAGAUUUUAAUUCUAUAUUAACAUUAACUAAAUUUUAAGAUCCCCAGGCAUAGCCCAUCACAUGAAAUCAUAACGAUGUUUUCAAACUAUGCAUAAAUACGAACACAAAAAAAUAAAAAUAUGAACACACUUAUUCUACCAAAAUUAGGUCACUGGAAUAGUGAUUUCUGCACCGACCUUUAGACUUAUUUUAUGUUUGUUUAUUUUAUAUGUGUUGAAUGUUUGUGUUUUUUUUGUUUAUUAAUUUAAUAAA